UGGUGAAGAACCCAAGUCAGCAGCUAUUAGGGAACCACAAGAAGAGACUCGGGUAGUGUCUUCUGACAAUUAAUAGCAUGUCGUUCUUAUUAAUGGCGCUGAUGCACACACUUUUUAAUAUCUGUUCUGUUACAUAAGCCUAUAGAAGGCCUCUUUAACUCUUGUGGGAGUGAUUUUGUCUCUUUCAUUGUUGUAGGGGAAAAAGCUUGUUGUUUGUCUGCAGCUACUAAAAGUUCAGUUAUAUUAUGUCUUGAAAGCCUUAUAGGAAAUGAGUGCUUUCGAGGUCUUGAUCGCUUUCUUGGUGGUGAUGAUGUGAAGGAAAAAACGCCCGACCCUUCAAUUUAUCUUAUAGCUGCCAAGGUAAACAAUCUACAUUUUAAUUUGACAUUUGCGAAUGUGGAUAUCCACAUCUUCUACCUUCACUGCACAUUUCUAAAUAUCAAAACACUAACUGCCUAUGCCUGAUAGAGACUCAGAAUCUCAGUCAGAGAUUGUUUGGUUGUGGAGGACAGUGUUAUUGGGCUACAGAUAUUUCAUAAGGAGCCAUUCUUCUAUGGACAUGAUAACUACGAUCAGCUAGCGAAAAUAGCAGAGGUUCCGGAUGCAACUAGUGACCAUGAAAUUCGGAGGGAGUCUGUAGGAGAAGAAGGGAAUCCAGAUUCAAGCAGUGAUAGAGCAAUGGACUGAGUUUCAAUGUUAUUGCACAUAUUCUGACAGUGCAAUACUGAAAUUUUUGUUAAGUGUUACUCUUGGUUGUCUUCAUUAGGUGCUUGGUUUUGGGUAUAGCUUUGUACUUCUUCUAAUUACAUAUUCUGACAGUGCAACAACUUAAUUACAUUGCA